rnacentral:ncRNA from 1 species
CUUAUCAAGAGUGGUGGAGGGAUCGGCCCGAUGAAGCCCGGCAACCUGCCCGGCGUGCAAGCGCAUGGCAAGGUGCUAAUUCCGGCGGUAUGUAUCGAAAGAUGAGG